rnacentral:rRNA from 1 species
GUCUACGGCUAUGCUACCCUGAACAAGCCCAAUCCCAUCUGAUCUCAGAAGCUAAGCAGGGUUGGCCUGGUUAGUACUUGGAUGGGAGACCACCUAGGAAGACCAGGUACUGUAGGUG